GACGAACGCUGGCGGCGCGCUUAACACAUGCAAGUCGAACGGAAAGGCCUGCUUUCCCUUGUGGAUUGCGGGUACUCGAGUGGCGAACGGGUGAGUAACACGUGAGUGAUCUGCCCCCAACUUGGGUAUAAGCCUGGGAAACUGGGUCUAAUUCCCGAUAGGACUGCAGGGUGGUGCCUGUGGUGGAAAACGAUUUUCUAGUGGUUGGGGAUGAGCUCGCGGCCUAUCAGCUUGUUGGUGGGGUAAUGGCCUACCAAGGCGGCGACGGGUAGCCGGCCUGAGAGGGUGGACGGCCACAUUGGGACUGAGAUACGGCCCAGACUCCUACGGGAGGCAGCAGUGGGGAAUAUUGCACAAUGGGCGGAAGCCUGAUGCAGCGACGCCGCGUGGGGGAUGACGGCCUUCGGGUGGUAAACUCCUUUCGACCGCGAGGAAGCCACCUGGUUGGAAGGGUGGUGACGGUAGUGGUAGAAGAAGCACCGGCUAACUACGUG
rnacentral:rRNA from 1 species